AACACUGGACAAACUUUCUAUGUGUUGUAUUAUACUCCUCAACUGCCUUCUAAAUGACAUCAGUUGUUGUGUUUUUUUUUGUCUCCAUUGUCCAACAGCGAGAUAUUUUUGGGUCUUCCUGUCUUUCUAAGGUAGCAGCCACCCUGAGGCUCGGCUGGCCGUAUGAAUCAUAACUUUUCCAUGACAUAUAAAGGGGAAACAGACACAAGCCAACAUCCAAACAGCUUUUCCUUUGUUCAGAGAACUGAAUAUAUUUAACCUCUCAGAUGAAGCUGUUAAAAGUCAUAGAAAACAUUCACACAAGCUGCCUUUCCACAGCUUUAUACAUCUCAGAUGCUUGUAGACAUUGAAAAGAACAGAGAAGCUGUGCAUAUGACACAUAUUAAUGAAACAGAUUAAUCUGCAGUUUUAUGAGGAAAUCACUUUUGACUGUUACUGUCAUAUCAUUCAGAUGUCUCAUUGUGGACAGACCGCAUACAUGGCACAAUCUUAUGCUUGUCAUGAGUCACAUGGACCUCUGAAUAAUGGUUUCACUGUAAUGUGCGACAGUACACUGGACUAUCAGUCCAUGCUUUGGUGAUGAAGGGCAAAAUUUGAAUUUUUGCUCAUGAAUAAAACAAUAGAAGUGUUCAGGCAGGAAAAUAUUGCCCUUUUGUGAGUUAAACACAGAGACAUACAACUGGAUCCAAAAGUGGGUCCAUGAAACCAGAUCCUGCUUGGUUUGUGCUCUUUCAGUGGAAAUCCCAACAUUACAACAAGAAUGCCUGCAGGCACCAGCUCGGUGGCGUAUAACGCACACCUCUCGCAAACACUCUCGUCUGUAAUAAAUUCCUGCCCGCACCUGUAAUGAGCUCAUGGCCUCGGCAGUGAUGGAGAACACUCAUUGUGUGUUUUGCUGAAUGAUGGAGACCGGACGAUGGGGUCUUCAGUCGGACUUUGUUCCAGAUAAUCAUGAAUUGAUGGAUAAACGUGCUGAGGAAAAGUGCAAGGGUGGAAACCUGAGGAAUUUAUUAGGGAUGCACCAAUAUUGCCUGUUUUUUUUUUUUUUCAGUUAUCAGUUACUGGAAGUAGAUCAUAUGUGAAAGACAAUAUACAAUCAUUACAGACAAAGUAAAUCCCAAAGGCUGAUCAGACUGAUGAAAACCUUGUCCAUAGUAAACAUGGACAACUGUUUGAUGACACACACGUGCAAAAAAAGAAAAAUAAAGGGGGAAAAAAAAGAAAAACUCUAACUCCUCCCCAACUUCCCGCU